CAGAGGCACGGGGAUGGAGUCCCCCCAAAACCGCUCCUUCGGGGAGCUGAUGACUCCUGCACGGAU
rnacentral:ncRNA from 2 species